CUCAAGUGAUCCACUCCCCUUGGCCUCCCAAAAUGCUGGGUGAGCCACUGAGGCCAGUCCCAAUAAAACUUUACUUACGGACACUGACGUGAUUUUCAUGUACACAGAAGGCUAUUCAGGCUUGAAAUUAGGUGGGGCUGUGAGGCAGGUGGUAUGUGUCAUUUCUGAACCAAAGCACAGAAGAAUGGCUCUGAGCUGUCCCUACGCUUUCUUCCCCUGCUGCAGCAAUGAGGAGGGCUCGUGUGAAGAUGGUGGAGCCACAAGAGUAAAGCAGCCUACACCAUCGAACCACUGCCCAGGUUGGCUGCUCCAGUCAUUCCAGUCCACAACGGACUGGGUGUGAGUAACAAACAAACAUUUAUGAGCUGAACCACUGAGAUCUGGUGGUUAAUCUGCUACUAUAUUAUUACUCGUGCUAUCCUGAAUAUGUAAUAUUCAUAUCCCAGGACCCAGUAGUUAGCCUCCUACCUUACAGGAUUUCUCCAUACAAGAAUGCUCAAAGCAGCACUGUAGGCUAUAGUGAAAAAUCGGAAAUAAUGUCCAGCAAUGAAGAAUGAAUUACUCGUGGUAAAGUCAUUCAAUGGAAUACCAUUGGAGAUUUUGGAUAAAUUUCAAAAACAUAUUACUUAAUAAAGUAAUAAACUUACAGAACGACAUGUAGAGCAUGACCAUUUAUAUACAGUUUUAACAUAUCUGAUUUUUAUAGAUGUAUAAAUAUCUAAUAAAAGUAGUUUAAAAAGUAUAAAAUCAUGAAUACCAAACAAAUGAUAGUGGCUACCCUUUGGGAAAAGGAAAGCGUGAUUAGAUGAGGAAGAGGGACACAGGAGACCACAGUUUUAUCUACAAUGUUUUAUUCAUUUUUUAAAAAAGAUCCAAGCUGGGCGCAGUGGCUCACACCUGUAAUCCUAGGAGGCUGAGGCAGGUGGAUCACCUGAGGUCAGAAGUUCAAGACCAGCCUGGCCAACAUUGUGAAACCCCACCUCUACCAAAAAUAUAAAAUUAGCUGGGGGUGGUGGCACAUGCCUGUAAUCCC
rnacentral:lncRNA from 1 species